rnacentral:rRNA from 1 species
AAGAUCCUGGUGACUGAGUGGCGGACGGGUGAGUAACGCGUGGGUAACCUGCCUCAUACAGGGGGAUAACAGUUAGAAAUGACUGCUAAUACCGCAUAAGACCACAGCACCGCAUGGUGCAGGGGUAAAAACUCCGGUGGUAUGAGAUGGACCCGCGUCUGAUUAGGUAGUUGGUGGGGUAACGGCCUACCAAGCCGACGAUCAGUAGCCGACCUGAGAGGGUGACCGGCCACAUUGGGACUGAGACACGGCCCAAACUCCUACGGGAGGCAGCAGUGGGGAAUAUUGCACAAUGGGGGAAACCCUGAUGCAGCGACGCCGCGUGAGCGAUGAAGUAUUUCGGUAUGUAAAGCUCUAUCAGCAGGGAAGAAAAUGACGGUACCUGACUAAGAAGCACCGGCUAAAUACGUGCCAGCAGCCGCGGUAAUACGUAUGGUGCAAGCGUUAUCCGGAUUUACUGGGUGUAAAGGGAGCGUAGACGGAGUGGCAAGUCUGAUGUGAAAACCCGGGGCUCAACCCCGGGACUGCAUUGGAAACUGUCAAUCUGGAGUACCGGAGAGGUAAGCGGAAUUCCUAGUGUAGCGGUGAAAUGCGUAGAUAUUAGGAGGAACACCAGUGGCGAAGGCGGCUUACUGGACGGUAACUGACGUUGAGGCUCGAAAGCGUGGGGAGCAAACAGGAUUAGAUACCCUGGUAGUCCACGCCGUAAACGAUGACUACUAGGUGUCGGGCAGCAAAGCUGUUCGGUGCCGCAGCAAACGCAAUAAGUAGUCCACCUGGGGAGUACGUU